rnacentral:rRNA from 1 species
UACGUAGGGGGCUAGCGUUGUCCGGAUUUAUUGGGCGUAAAGAGCGUGUAGGCGGCCAGAUAGGUCUGCUGUGAAAACUCGAGGCUCAACCUCGAGCUGUCGGCGGAAACCAUCCGGCUAGAGUCCGGAAGAGGAGAGUGGAAUUCCCGGUGUAGCGGUGAAAUGCGCAGAUAUCGGGAAGAACACCUGUGGCGAAGGCGGCUCUCUGGGACGGUACUGACGCUGAGACGCGAAAGCGUGGGGGAGCAAACAGG